rnacentral:rRNA from 1 species
GACGAACGCUGGCGGCGUGCCUAAUACAUGCAAGUAGAACGCAGUUGCGAACGGGUGAGUGACACGUAGGUAACUGCCUCAUAGGGGGGGAUAAAUAUUGGAAACGAUAGCUAAUACCGCAUACUGUGGGCUGGACCUGCUUUGUAUUAGCUAGUUGGAGAGGUAAAGGCUAACCAAGGCGACGAUACAAAGCCUACCUUAGAGGGUGAUCGGCCACCAUGGGACGGAGACACCGCCCAGACUCCUACGGGAGGCAGCAGUAGGGAAUCUUCGGACAUGGACGGAAGUCUGACCGAGCAACGCCGCGUUAGUGAAGAAGGUUUUCGGAUUGUAAAGCUCUGUUGUUAGAGAAGCGGUACCUACCCAGAAAGGGACGGCUAACUACGUGCCAGCAGCCGCGGUAAUUC